CACAUUCCCAAAACAAAUGAGUUAAUGUUUCAUCCGAAUUAUGACAAAAUGAGCAAAAAGGGUCGACAUUGAUCUUAUACUUCACUGGUUUAAUACAUAUUACAAGAUGAAUUUUCGGGCAUGACGUCACACAGCCCCCCCCCCUUUCCUCUAAAUCGAGUGGAAAUGGUUGCGUUUGUUUGUGCGUCGUUAGUGCUGUUUAAAGUUUUGUUUGAGCUGUUGGUAUUAACCCCGUCCCCUCCAAGUUAACCACAAAAAUGGUUUGGUCCGUGUUUCCCGUUCAUUCAAAUACAUUAAAGACACAUGAAGCACAAACAGAUUGUACAGGUUCUGUUGUGGUCCACACUCGUCUUUUUUCCUCCUGGUUCUGUCUGUUUGGGUGCGUUUUUCACUCCUCCUCCAGUCAACCAGUCCAGCUCUGGGGAUGUCACCCUGAACAAGAACUCCAGGUCUUCAUCCGUCUCACAGAUACAUAAUGUCCAAGAGCAUCCUGGGUCAAGCCUCCCUGUAAAGCAACGACUGCCCCCCCUCAAAUGUGGCCAAAUUAGGUCCAUGGCUUGGUCGGGAUCUCCAAAGUCCAUCAGCUUCUUUGCCUGUGAUGCCUGCCGUACAUGGGCUUCCAUCUGCCUUCACAUAUUUCUGUGUUCAUCUGCACAAGCAUAUUUCCAGACAUGAAAUGCUUUGAACAGCCAGUGUGCAGGAGUCACCAGCGUUGUUGAUGCAACAUUUGAACACCACUGGGCUGUUAACUGCUGGUUCUAUCUCACAUGUUCUGUCCAGAUGACCAUGGUGCUCUUUACAGUAGCUCCUGACUUCAGUGUAAUUGUGAUUGAUGGAUAGACCUUGGCUCUUUUAUAAAUAAAUGUGCAAGGACUUUUGACUGCUUUCCAAAUCUGCUCAUUUAUGACAUGAG